rnacentral:misc_RNA from 1 species
UUUUGGAAAGAAUUCUUCAAAUGCUUGGGAACCAACCUCUCUUUUAGUACAGCAUACCAAUAACCCUAACAGUCUUGCUUAUCCAAUUGGAUCUUGUCCUCGCCCAUUAAGGUUCAUGCAUGCAUUUGAGAAAGCAAUAGUAUGAAAGUCUUGCUUCUGUCCCAAAAAAAAAAACGAAGGGUUUUAAAAAAAAAGGGAGGAGGAGGAGAGAGAGAGAGA